UUCCCGAAUUCGGAAGAGUUAUAGAUUUUAUUGUCAUAAAUAUUUUUAAUUUGAAAUGAGACGUUAUUAUAUCUGGUUUAAAAAGAAAAUUUAAUUUUAUUAUAAUUUCGGGGAUGAGCUUGAAAGGGGAUUAGAAGUUUUGUUAUAACUAGGUUAUUUUUAUGUAUUUUUGAAUUUAUGUAUUAAUAAUGAUUAAAUUAGUAUAAGGUUAAUUAAAGGAACUCGGCAAAAAUUUUUCACCUGUUUAUUAAAAACAUGGCCUUUUGACUAUAAUUUAAGGUCUUGCCUGCCCACUGAGGCCGCGGUACUUUGACCGUGCAAAGGUAGCAUAAUCAUUAGUUUUUUAAAUGGAAGCUGGAAUGAAUGGUAUGAUGAAAAAAUAACUGUCUCUAUUUAAUAGAAUUUUAUUUUUAAGUCAGAAUGCUUAAAUAAUAUUAAAAGACGAGAAGACCCUAUAGAGUUUAACUUUAGUUGGGGUGACUGAAAAAUUAAAAAAACUUUUGAUAAUAAGAUCAAAUUACCUUAGGGAUAACAGCGUAAUUUUUCUAAGAGUUCAAAUCGAUAGGAAAGUUUGCGACCUCGA
rnacentral:rRNA from 1 species